rnacentral:miRNA from 1 species
UUUUGUGUCUCCCAUUCCCCAG